AUGCACAGCAGACAAGCUGAGCCACACCCUAGCCACGCAUCAGCCUUUUAGCGCUACACAGACACAUCCCAGAACCUUUGCCUACAAAAGCGUUGCUUGCCUAUUUCCUGCCUGCGAUACUUCUGGCCUAGACUUGGAGUAUGUUCCCAUUGCGGUAGUCUCCCUCAGUAACAUUGUUCCUUGCUCAACUCCAGACUCACUUUUUAACUUUUGCUUUACAAUGCAAAAGAUAUCAUUUGGGAUUUGAUUUGGAAAAGGUUAAAAAAAAUUAAACUUGUAAGAAAAUUUGAUUGCUUAAAUGGGAUAUCAAAUUGCUAAGAAACAAAACUUGGUACCUAUAUAACCCAAAUGACAUUAAAGUAUUUCUCAAAUAGACACGGGUGGUAAUAUCAUUGAAAAAUUAUUAUCUAGUUCUUGUAAUCUGGGGCAUAGUAAAGCCAACACAAAAGACAGGACAUCAUUCCAAAGCACACAAUGUUCAUUUCUAUUCUGAUUCUUUAGAAGAGAAAGAAAAAUCUUUUACUAGCUCUGACUAAGAGGAUAUCACUAAUCCAAGAAAAAAAUUGUCAUUUUAAUAGAAAACCAAAUUCUUUUCUUGCAUUGGUAUAAUAUUCAAUAUUAAAUGUUUUCUUUUAAAUCUUACAAAUAAUCCCAUUAAAACUUGGCCAACUCUGACUACAAAAACUAGAAUCCUCUUUCCCUUAAACUUGGACAACUUUACCUAGUCAAGUGUUUCCAUUGACUUUCCUCUAUGUCAUUCUGGAACAGUCACUCAUUGUACACUGGAACAGAAUCACUCUUGUUUUCUGUCUCCUUCUAUUACAUGGAAAAAUAGAGGAGGUAUUAAAAAGCAAAGCUGUUUGAUGGAUGCUUGCUAAAAUAUCAAGGUAGAUCUUAAUCAACCCAAACUGCCUCAGUGAUAUUUUUGCUAAAAGAGGGCCUAAGACCUUAACAGGAAAAAAGUGGGUUGGGGUGGAAGGUCAGGAGUUCAGUUCAGGAUGUGUGAAGAUGCUUUCAAGGACCUCACUGCCUCAUCCUCCAUGGAGAUAGUAAAUAGGAUGCAGGACAUAGGAGCCUGGAGUCCAGGAGCCUUGUCUAGCUAAAGACGGAAAUUUGGAUGUUGAUAACCUAAACACAGACUUUAAGCCAUGCACAUAGAGGAAGUACCCUAUGGUAUGAAUGGGACAGACAGGAUGACCAAUGACCAAAGUCUGAGGUUCAGGGAUGCUCAGCAUAAAGGGACAGAGCUAGAAUUAAAUGACAAUAUGACCAUAUCAGGCAGUGAAUGCUAUGAGAAGAUUCAAGUAGUUUUGAAUAUAUCAAACUGUCAGCUUCAUUUACAUUCUUGAGUGGGUAUAGAGACAAAGAGGGCUUCCUUGAAGAGGAGACCCUAGGCAGACACCCAAAAACUAAGGAAAACAGGUAAAAAGUAAUAAAAUAAUAAAAAUAUAAAAUAAAACAAAAUAUCAACAACAUAGAUAUCAUGGAUGAGGAAUGAGGAUCUUAAUAAAAUAUCAAUAUAAAGAAUGAUCAUAUAGGCUGGGGCUGUAGCUCAGUGGCAGAGCUCUUGCCUAGCACAUCUGAGGCACUGGGUUCCAUCCUCAGCACCACAUAAAAAUACAAAAAAAAAAAAAGGUAUUGUUUCCAUCUACAUCUAAGGAAAAAAAAAUAGAGUGGUCAUAUAGCCAGGCACAGUGGCACAUGCCUGUAAUCCCAGCAGCUGGGGAGGCUGAGGCAGAAAGAUUGCAAAUUCAAAGCCAGACACAGCAAAAGCAAAGCUCUAAGCAACUCAGUGAGACCCUGUCUCUAAAUAAAAUGCAAAAUAGGGCUGGGAUGUGGCUAAGUGGUUGAGUGCCCCUGAGUUCAAUUUCUGGUACCCGCCCCCAGCAAAAAAAAAAAGUGGCCACAUAUCAAGGAUUCUUGAUAAGUUAGCUUAACAGGUUCUUUGCUAAAAUAGGGUUGGAUAGGCCAAAGUAAAAGUCUAGUCAAAAAAGUCCAAAAGAGCUUCAAUGAAGUUUGGCCAAGGAGAGAUAAUUUUUGAGUUGAUAAUCAUGAACUAAAUUUCAUAUGCCAUUAUUUUGUAGAAGACCAGCAGGACUGUGAAUAUAUAUCUCAUUUGUAGUCAUAAAUAUCCUUUUUCAAUGUGGGUAAAAUAAAUGUCUAAUAGAGCCAAAUCUAUAGAGCCACUCUGUAUCAUAGAAAAAUAAGAGGGAAAAAGUCUAUAAAUAGAAGCUUAUACCUAGUGUUUCAGAAUUUUACCUUACUUAAAUAUGAUCUAGGUAUCUAUUGAAUGUCUAUUAAUUAAUUCAAUUUAGUAUCAGACCAAGAUGUUAAUUCUACUCCCAAAUCUUAGAAACUAUCUUUAAACUAAUAUACUAGACUAUUCAACAUGAUAAAUUCCAAAAUAAAGUUUUUCAAAUAAUAAUUCAAUUUGAAUAAAUACAAAUGUACAUUUUAUAUCCAUAGAGUAACUGUAACGAAGGCUUAGUAAGCCAGCAAACCUGUAUAAGCUGAAUAAUGACAUGCUCAAAGAGAUAAAAAUGAGUGCUUGUAUAAUAAUUAAUACUGGUAACUCAGAAGACAUGGCUUUUUAUAUUAAAUCAUCAAUAUAAUUUUCCAAAAUUUCCCUAAAUUACAUGAACAUGAAUUCUUAAAACAUUUGAGUAAUUAUCUAUAAGAAUAUAGUUUAGCAUAUUGACAUCUAUUUGCUUGUGGCGCACACCUUUAAUCCCAGCGGCUCAGGAGGCUGAGGCAGGAGGAUUGCAAAUUCAAAGUCAGCCUCAGCAAUGGCAAGCGAGCGAGGCACUAAGCAACUCAGUAAGAGUCUGUCUCUAAAUAAAAUACAAAAUAGGGCUGGAGAUGUGGCUCAGAGGUCGAGUGCCCUGAGUUCAAUCCCUAGUACCAAAAAAGAAAAAAAAUUAAUUUCUUAAUCCAUGGAGACUUUAGGAAUAUUCCUUCUUUGUGGGUCUGAUAUUAGGGAUUGAAUCUAGGGUACUCUACUGCUGGGCUACAACCAAGCUCUUCCAUUUCUCAGUUUUGAGGCAGGGUUUCUCUAAGUUGCCGAGGCUGGCCUUGAAGCUGAGAUUCUCCCAAAUCACUGAAGAAUAUUCCGUUUUCAUAAGAUAUUAUUUAGGCUUAAGUCAAUCAAAACAGAGCUCCCUUACACAUUUUUAUGAUCUCUUUUAGUAAUGCUACCUGAGGUUAAGGAAAUCUCCCCACCAACAAUAAAUAUAUACAUGGACAUGAAAAACUUAGAGCUUUACUUCUGAAAUUUCAGCCACAUGUCAGGCAUAAACACAAAUACAAUACUCACUUGCUCAUUACGAGGGGCUCUUGUCUUAACAGUGGAUACAAAUUCUUCAAGUUUAAGGUAGGGGAAAAUAGAUAAGCGAACAGAAAGGAAUAACCACCUCAAUUUUCCGUCGACUUUCCUCCAACACAUCAAUGAAACAUCAAUAAACUAUUCAAUUCAUUUCCAAAGCUUACCAGAUGCCCAUGAACCAAUCAAACAAGCAAGUAAAGUCCAUCGAAAGGAAUCCACAACGUAUUCAAACAGAAGGAAAUCAGAUCCUUAGCACGCUACCAGCCGACAGGAGACCAGCGCUUGGGCUGCUGGGCAGAUACUGAGCACCAGGAGAGCUCCGGUGCCUCUGUUACCUGGUGGAGGAGAUGGAAGGCAAGGGCCCAUUUCUGAGCCACAGCACCAAACUGUCAAAAAAAAAACCCCGACAAGUUAGGAGAGACGUAUUAUUCUGGCCACUGCAACAGGAAGUUUGCUCCUGAGCUGAAGAACAACAGGAGACUCACCAGCUGAGACUGCAGGAGCCUUUUUAUAAGUUCUAGGAGGGAAGCUGUAGGAGGGAAGGAUGUGGCCUGAGGUCACAUGUUUUUGUCUGUUUUGGUUUGAUUUGUAUGGAAAAAAAAUAUGUGGUAAACAAACUCAGAGCAGGGUACUCUGAGCUAGUCAACUAUGCGACAUGUUUUUGUCUGUUUUGGUUUGAUUUGUAUGGAAAAAAAUAUGUGGUAAACAAACUCAGAGCAGUGUACUCUGAGCUAGUCAACUAUGCCACAUGUUUUUGUCUGUUUUGGUUUGAUUUGUAUGGAAAAAAAUAUGUGGUAAACAAACUCAGAGCAGGGUUUUCUGAGCUAGUCAACUAUGUGACAUGUUUUUGUCUGUUUUCGUUUGAUUUGUAUGGAAAAAAAUAUGUGGUAAACAAACUCAGAGCAGGGUACUCUGAGCUAGUCAACUAUGGACAAAAUAGCAGGUGACCAUGUUUGGCUUUGUCACAUGUAAACAAAGGUCUUGCGGAAGAAUUUCCAGAAAUGGUAACAACAAAAUGCAGCUUCAGGAUGGGGAUGAGCCCUCUGCUCCUCCUUGAAGGCCACCCAAGUCAUUUGUCCUUCUUCAGCCUGCCCAUCCCUCUGAUGGAAUGCAUGUCCCUUUCUAGCUGCCCCUCCCACCCUAGCCUCCUCUAUAGUGUCUUCCAGCCUUUCUCUAUCCAUGUCUUUACUUUCACUAAUAACAACCCAGUUAGUACAUCACCUUUUCCAUACAAAACUGCAC
rnacentral:lncRNA from 1 species